AGGGAGCUAAAUGUGCACACCCUGCACUUGCAUAUCGUUCCAACACAAUUCGCCUUCCAUACACACUCAUCAUUUGGACGACACACGUUCUUGUACUUUUGAUUGCAACCAUUCUCACAAGAACUGGCUGAACAGACACCAGAAAAGUCCAAUAGUUGUUUCUGUGCAAUGUUGUGUUUUUCCAUCUGCAAAGCAUCACCAUGACAACGAAACACACAUCAUGAGCAUAUAUAUAGUCGACUGAUGAAACAUUGUUUUGUGUGAACAAGUUUAAUUGUACCUGAUACAAGUAUGAUGAAAGCGAGGGUCACGAGUAGUGCUAGAGUGAACUUCAUCUUAGCUUAGAUGUUAUUGUGACAAAAUAAUUUUGCUGCUGGUUGAUUGUGUUUACCUGUGCAUUGUGG
rnacentral:lncRNA from 1 species